rnacentral:rRNA from 1 species
GACACAGGGAGGUAGUGACAAGAAAUAACAAUACGGGGCUUAAUGUCUUGUAAUUGGAAUGAUGGGAAUUUAAACCUCUUCCAGAGUAUCAAUUGGAGGGCAAGUCUGGUGCCAGCAGCCGCGGUAAUUCCAGCUCCAAUAGCGUAUAUUAAAAUUGUUGCAGUUAAAAAGCUCGUAGUUGAAUUUCUGCUGCAUCGUCGCAUCUCUUGCUGAGUGCUUCGUUUCGGCUUAUUUCGGAUUGAUUUUUUCUUUCCGGAUGAUUACUUUGAGAAAAUUAGAGUGCUCAAAGCAGGCUUUUGCCUUGAAUAGUUUAGCAUGGAAUAAUAAAGUAGGACUUUGGUUCUAUUUUGUUGGUUUUAGGUACCAAAGUAAUGGUUAAUAGGAACAGUUGGGGGCAUUCGUAUUUAACUGUCAGAGGUGAAAUUCUUAG